UACGGGAGGCAGCAGUGAGGAAUAUUGGUCAAUGGGCGUAGGCCUGAACCAGCCAAGUAGCGUGAAGGAUGACUGCCCUAUGGGUUGUAAACUUCUUUUAUAAGGGAAUAAAGUGGAGUAUGUAUACUCUUUUGUAUGUACAUAGAAUACGAUCGUCCAC
rnacentral:rRNA from 1 species